CGAACGGGUGAGUAUCACGUGAGAAACCUGCCCCGAAGACCGGGAUAGCCCGGGGAAACCCGGAUUAAUACCGGAUAUUCUCUACAGAUCGCAUGGUCUGCUGAGGAAAUGCCUUUGUGCUUCGGGAUGGUCUCGCGACCUACCAGCUAGUUGGUGAGGUAAUGGCUCACCAAGGCAACGACGGGUAGCCGGUCUGAGAGGACGAUCAGCCACACUGGGACUGAGACACGGCCCAG
rnacentral:rRNA from 1 species